rnacentral:rRNA from 1 species
UACGGAGGGUGCAAGCGUUAAUCGGAAUUACUGGGCGUAAAGCGUGCGUAGGCGGUUUGUUAAGUCUGUUGUGAAAGCCCCGGGCUCAACCUGGGAAUGGCAAUGGAUACUGGCAAGCUAGAGUAGGGUAGAGGGGUGUGGAAUUCCAGGUGUAGCGGUGAAAUGCGUGGAUAUCUGGAGGAACAUCAGUGGCGAAGGCGGCACCCUGGACUCAUACUGACACUGAGGUGCGAAAGCGUGGGGAGCAAACAGG